UUUUUUUGAAAUUCUCAUCAACAUUCGAGAUAACGGGGAAAAACUGGUCCUUUAGGUUAUCAAAAGAUUAAAAAUAAGUUUUUUUAAAUAAUCGUUUGCUGUCAUGAAAAUGCAAAUUUUUGAAAAAACAACACUAUUGACAAAGCUCCGCUCAAAAACGUUUUUCGUUAGCAAUAAUUGAUCGUUGCGAACAGAUAUAUAUAUUAAAUUCUCCUCUACAUCAUACGUUCUCAACUUCUCACCUACA